GAUGAACGCUGGCGGCGUGCCUAAUACAUGCAAGUCGAGCGAACAGACGAGGAGCUUGCUCCUCUGACGUUAGCGGCGGACGGGUGAGUAACACGUGGAUAACCUACCUAUAAGACUGGGAUAACUUCGGGAAACCGGAGCUAAUACCGGAUAAUAUAUUGAACCGCAUUGUUCAAUAGUGAAAGACGGUUUUGCUGUCACUUAUAGAUGGAUCCGCGCCGCAUGAGCUAGUUGGUAAGGUAACGGCUUACCAAGGCAACGAUGCGUAGCCGACCUGAGAGGGUGAUCGGCCACACUGGAACUGAGACACGGUCCAGACUCCUACGGGAGGCAGCAGUAGGGAAUCUUCCGCAAUGGGCGAAAGCCUGACGGAGCAACGCCGCGUGAGUGAUGAAGGUCUUCGGAUCGUAAAACUCUGUUAUUAGGGAAGAACAAAUGUGUAAGUAACUAUGCACGUCUUGACGGUACCGAAUCAGAAAGCCACGGCUAACUACGUG
rnacentral:rRNA from 1 species